rnacentral:rRNA from 1 species
UGCAUAUCAAUAAGCGGAGGAAAAGAAACCAACAGGGAUUGCCUUAGUAGCGGCGAGUGAAGCGGCAAUAGCUCAAAUUUGAAAUCUGGCGCCUUCGGUGUCCGAGUUGUAAUUUGAAGAAGGUAUCUUUGGUUUUGGCUCUUGUCUAUGUUUCUUGGAACAGGACGUCAUAGAGGGUGAGAAUCCCGUCUGAUGAGAUGCCCAAUUCCAUGUAAAGUUCCUUCGACGAGUCGAGUUGUUUGGGAAUGCAGCUCUAAGUGGGUGGUAAAUUCCAUCUAAAGCUAAAUAUUGGCGAGAGACCGAUAGCGAACAAGUACUGUGAAGGAAAGAUGAAAAGAACUUUGAAAAGAGAGUGAAAAAGUACGUGAAAUUGUUGAAAGGGAAGGGUUUAAGGUCAGACUUGGUUUACCAGGCCAGCAUCGGUUUAGAUGGCAGGAUAAUGGCGUAGGAAUGUGGCUUUGCUUCGGUAAAGUGUUAUAGCCUGCGUUGAUACUGCCUAUUUAGACCGAGGACUGCGUCUUUGACAAGGAUGCUGGCAUAAUGGCCUUAAGCCAC